rnacentral:tRNA from 1 species
GGAGAGGUCGCCUAGUCCGGCCGAGGGCGCGGCACUGGAAAUGCCGUAGGGGGGCAACCCCCUCGAGGGUUCAAAUCCCUCCCUCUCCGCCA